rnacentral:rRNA from 1 species
CUUCGGCGCUACCAUGCAGUCGAGCGGAACGAGUUAUCUGACCUUCGGGGACGAUAACGGCGUCGAGCGGCGGACGGGUGAGUAAUGCCUAGGAAAUUGCCCUGAUGUGGGGGAUAACCAUUGGAAACGAUGGCUAAUACCGCAUGAUGCCUACGGGCCAAAGAGGGGGACCUUAGGGCCUCUCGCGUCAGGAUAUGCCUAGGUGGGAUUAGCUAGUUGGUGAGGUAAGGGCUCACCAAGGCGACGAUCCCUAGCUGGUCUGAGAGGAUGAUCAGCCACACUGGAACUGAGACACGGUCCAGACUCCUACGGGAGGCAGCAGUGGGGAAUAUUGCACAAUGGGCGCAAGCCUGAUGCAGCCAUGCCGCGUGUGUGAAGAAGGCCUUCGGGUUGUAAAGCACUUUCAGUCGUGAGGAAGGUAGUGUAGUUAAUAGCUGCAUUAUUUGACGUUAGCGACAGAAGAAGCACCGGCUAACUCCGUGCCAGCAGCCGCGGUAAUACGGAGGGUGCGAGCGUUAAUCGGAAUUACUGGGCGUAAAGCGCAUGCAGGUGGUUUGUUAAGUCAGAUGUGAAAGCCCGGGGCUCAACCUCGGAAUUGCAUUUGAAACUGGCAGACUAGAGUACUGUAGAGGGGGGUAGAAUUUCAGGUGUAGCGGUGAAAUGCGUAGAGAUCUGAAGGAAUACCGGUGGCGAAGGCGGCCCCCUGGACAGAUACUGACACUCAGAUGCGAAAGCGUGGGGAGCAAACAGGAUUAGAUACCCUGAUAGUCCACGCCGUAAACGAUGUCUACUUGGGAGGUUGUGGGCCUUGAGCCGUGGCUUUCGGAGCUAACGCGUUUAAGUAGACCGCCCUGGGGGAGUACGGUCGCAGGAAUUAAACUCAAAGGAAUUUGACGG